UACACGCUGUGACUAGCAUAUCAAUAAGCGGAGGAAAAGAAACUAACAAGGAUUCCCUCAGUAACGGCGAGUGAAGCGGGAAGAGCUCAAAUUUGAAAUCUUGAAAGGUCACCUUUCACGAAUUGUAGUUUAAAGAAGUGUUUUCUGUUACGAUCGUAAUAUAAGUUCUUUGGAAUAGGACAUCACAGAGGGUGAGAAUCCCGUCUAUGAUUGCGAUUUGUAGCUUUGGUGAUACACUUUCAAAGAGUCGGGUUGUUUGGGAAUGCAGCCCAAAACGGGAGGUAAAUUUCUUCUAAGGCUAAAUAUUGGCGAGAGACCGAUAGCGAACAAGUACCGUGAGGGAAAGAUGAAAAGAACUUUGAAAAGAGAGUUAAAUAGUACGUGAAAUUGUCAAAAGGGAAGCGUUUAACACCAGUGUUGUUUUCUGAAAAUCAACCUCUGUUAGCUUUAUGCAUGUUUGUUUAGACCUAAUCAGCUAUCUUGCAUGUUCUAUUGUUUGCAGUGGUGCACUUUUCAGUUUACAGGUCAACAUCAGUUUUUUUUACCGUAAAAAAGUUAAAGAAAGGUAGCUCAUGGCUCCGGUCGUGAGUGUUAUAGUCUUUUUCCUAUGCGGUAGGAGAGACUGAGGUCUGCAGUGUAGGCUAUUUGGCUAGAUACUCAGGUGCUAUGUGAUACCAUUUCAUAAACAACUUGUUGAUUAUGUUUUGUCUAUUGCAUACUCGCUUGUACUAUCAUACCUACGCUUAGGAUGUUGACGCAUGAGAUAUACGC
rnacentral:rRNA from 1 species